rnacentral:rRNA from 1 species
UACGUAGGGUGCGAGCGUUGUCCGGAUUUAUUGGGCGUAAAGGGCUCGUAGGCGGCGUGUCGCGUCGGGAGUGAAAGCCCGUUGCUUAACGGCGGGUUGGCUUUCGGUACGGGCAUGCUGGAGUGCGGCAGGGGAGACUGGAAUUCCUGGUGUAGCAGUGAAAUGCGUAGAUAUCAGGAGGAACACCGACGGCGUAGGCAGCGCCCUGGACGACACCUGACGCUGAGGCACGAAAGCUGGGGGAGCGAACAGG